GAUGAACGCUGGCGGCGUGCCUAAUACAUGCAAGUCGAGCGAACAGACGAGGAUCUUGCGCCUCUCACGUGAGCGGCGGACGGGUGAAUCACACGUGUAUACCCUACCUAUAAGACUGGUAUAACUUCGGGAAACCGGAUCUAAUACCGGAUAACAUGCUGAACCGCAUGGUUCGACAGUGAAAUACGGUGGUGCGGGCUCGUAUCGAUGGAUCCGCGUCGCAUUAGCUAGUUGGUAAGUUAAAGGCUUACCAAGGCAACGAUGCGUAACCGACCUGAUAGGGGGAUAGCCCACAUUGGAGGUGGACCAGGGUCAUGAGUCCUACGGGACGCAGCAGAAGGGAAUGGUACGCAAUGGGCGAGAGCAUGACAGAGCAACGCGGCGUGAGUGAAGAAAGUCUUCGGAUCGUAAAACCCUGUUAUUAGUGAAGAACAAAUGUGUAAGUAAACGUGCACGUAUUGACGGUAACUAGUCAGAAAGCCACGGCUAACUACGUG
rnacentral:rRNA from 1 species